rnacentral:rRNA from 1 species
GACGAACGCUGGCGGCGUGCUUAACACAUGCAAGUCGAACGGAAAGGCCCUGCUUUUGUGGGGUGCUCGAGUGGCGAACGGGUGAGUAACACGUGAGUAACCUGCCCUUGACUUUGGGAUAACUUCAGGAUACUGGGGCUAAUACCGGAUAGGAGCUCCUGCUGCAUGGUGGGGGUUGGAAAGUUUCGGCGGUUGGGGAUGGACUCGCGGCUUAUCAGCUUGUUGGUGGGGUAGUGGCUUACCAAGGCUUUGACGGGUAGCCGGCCUGAGAGAGUGACCGGCCAAAUUGGGACUGAGAUACGGCCCAGACUCCUACGGGAGGCAGCAGUGGGGAAUAUUGCACAAUGGGCGGAAGCCUGAUGCAGCAACGCCGCGUGCGGGAUGACGGCCUUCGGGUUGUAAACCGCUUUCGCCUGUGACGAAGCGUGAGUGACGGUAAUGGGUAAAGAAGCACCGGCUAACUACGUG